UACAGAGGUCUCGAGCGUUGUUCGGAUUCAUUGGGCGUAAAGGGUGCGUAGGUGGCACUGUAAGUCGGGUGUGAAAUCCUGAGGCUUAACCUCGGAACUGCAUUCGAUACUGCGGUGCUUGAGGACUGGAGAGGAGACUGGAAUUCAUGGUGUAGCAGUGAAAUGCGUAGAGAUCAUGAGGAAGACCAGUGGCGAAGGCGGGUCUCUGGACAGUUCCUGACACUGAGGCACGAAGGCCAGGGAGCAAACGGG
rnacentral:rRNA from 1 species